rnacentral:rRNA from 1 species
UAGGGAAUCUUCGGCAAUGGACGAAAGUCUGACCGAGCAACGCCGCGUGAGUGAAGAAGGUUUUCGGAUCGUAAAACUCUGUUGGUAGAGAAGAACGUUGGUGAGAGUGGAAAGCUCAUCAAGUGACGGUAACUACCCAGAAAGGGACGGCUAACUACGUGCCAGCAGCCGCGGUAAUACGUAGGUCCCGAGCGUUGUCCGGAUUUAUUGGGCGUAAAGCGAGCGCAGGUGGCUUAUUAAGUCUGGUGUAAAAGGCAGUGGCUCAACCAUUGUAUGCAUUGGAAACUUGUAGACUUGAGUGCAGGAGAGGAGAGUGGAAUUCCAUGUGUAGCGGUGAAAUGCGUAGAUAUAUGGAGGAACACCGGUGGCGAAAGCGGCUCUCUGGCCUGUAACUGACACUGAGGCUCGAAAGCGUGGGGAGCAAACA